rnacentral:rRNA from 1 species
CAGUAGCCGCGGGAAUACGAAGGGGGCUAGCGUUGCUCGGAAUCACUGGGCGUAAAGGGUGCGUAGGCGGGUCUUUAAGUCAGGGGUGAAAUCCUGGAGCUCAACUCCAGAACUGCCUUUGAUACUGAAGAUCAUGAGUUCGGGAGAGGUGAGUGGAACUGCGAGUGUAGAGGUGAAAUUCGUAGAUAUUCGCAAGAACACCAGUGGCGAAGGCGGCGACCUGUCCUUUACUGACGCUGAGGCACGAAAGCGUGGGAAGCAAACAGGAUUAGAUACCCCCGUAGUCCCUGUCUCUUAUACA